GACUUUCAUCUGAAUGAGUCAGUCACCUUGGUAUUCUGUAUUGCUGUGCAUAUCAUGUCACCGGAUGACUUUUUCAUUUUAAUUGGACUUUUGGAUGGUGGUAGAUUUUUAACCAAGUGAAACUAAAAAGAGCGUUUUGGGGAAAAGCAUUUGAAGAUGCCACAUUGUAACUUAGAAGUUUCUAUAAAAUGAGUAACAUUGAAGAAUUUGAUUAUGAUCACUACAGUCUUGCCACAGCUCAUAAGUAGCAACAGGUAUCUCACUAAAUGGCCCAGAAAUAGUCAUUUCACUAGUUUUCUUUGUUUCUAAGGUACAGAGAUCUAUAGAGUUGUGAUUAUUUGGUUUUGUUUGUUUGUUUUUCAAUUCAAAAUACCUAAUUUCUAAGUAUUUCUCAAUAUUUUAAACAACUUUUAAUUAAAAUAAACUCAGAAUAAAGUGUAUAAAUUUGUGUUAUGUUAUCCACCCAAGUGUACAUAUGUAUCUAUUUUUUAAAAAACCAGAGGUAGAAAUACAAGAUUGGUAAACAUGCCUUUUUAAAGAUAUAUUUUCAACUAGUAGUAAUUGUAUAUAGUGUUGAAAUAUUAUUUUCUGGUGAUUUUUCUGUUUCACACACCCUAAACUAUAAGUAAAGCCAAUCUUUUUUUAAGGUUGAGGAAUGUAGAUUCCCAAAAUAAGAAUUCUACUUUAUACUAUUUGUUUUGUUUAUAAGUAUAAGCUAAUUCUUAUAAAUGUUAAUAUUUACAUAUUUGCAUCUAAUUUAAUAAAUUAAAAUUGGGAUUAAAAAUUGCACCAAAGCAUUGGCAGAAAUAAUACUAUUUUCUUUAAAAGUGCUCAGGUAGCCGAGGCCCUUGGUUUUCGGUAUCAAGCCCUUCUUGAACCCAUAGGAACUGAAUAUUUGUUCACUGCUUCAUAAUAUUCAAUUUACACUAACAAAACUCAUUAAUUCUUAAAAUUUUCUUUUCUCUAAUAGCUCCUCCCUUUCCAAUAGCUAAUAUUUUUUCAAAGAUUUCAACUUUUCAGUUGUAACUGUUUUUGUAUAUACUGGGGAGGGUUGUUUGUGAGAAAGGCUAAUAUGGAACCAAACUCUUGUAAGUAAUGUAAAUAGAAAGAUGGGUAGAUAAAGUUUUCAAUAUGCUCUACUACCUCAGUUUACUUGAAAUACUACAUUAUAUUAAUAGUUUAUCCUUUACUUAUCUAGUCUAAGAUGCUCUUAAUGUAAGAAGUGAAACUGGUUUCUGCUUUCAUGAACUAUUUUCAUCAUAAUCAGCUGAUUAGCUUAAAACUGAAAACCACUUGCUUAUUCUGUUACUAAGUAUCUUUUGUGUAUAAUGCAUCCAUUCUUGCUAUUUAAAUUUUCAGUAAUUAAGGAAAUUUCUGUGGUUUAUUUAGUUUCUGACCUCAAAUUUAUAGCAUUGGGUCACAUUUUACCUUGUUCUCAUCUCCAGCUAGACUGAGAUGAAAUGGUUAUUUUAAUGGAAUGUAAACCUGAAGUUGGUGUGCCUGCAGGCAGUUUGGCCCCUGUAUCCUCUCAGCUGCUUUAGUGCCUGAGUCUCCCAUGGGUGACUUGCUGUCAAAGAGUGUUUGUGGAUAUAUUUUCAUUGGCAUAGUUUUUUUUAGUCUAUUCAUUAAAGAAAUUCUCUGAUCUGUUGUUUGGAAUUUUAUGAAUCAGUCUCUUUUUCUGAAUUCAGAAUAUGGAAAAGAUCGUAUGUGGGCCACUUAUAUUUUUUCUCAUCAUAGUUCAGGAUGCAUAGCAGGUAGAUAAUGUCUUGUUUUUGUGUCUUAUUUUUUAAAUUAAUCAUCAAACUAUUCACAGUCCUGUCUAUUUGAAAUCUGUAAUAAAUUACCAUUUUGGAAAUCUGGUUUUCAACAAAUGGAUGGCUCAUGCUACUGUAAUUCUUAAAACUAAGCUUCGUAUAGAAUCAUUAAUCCUGUAAGGAUUCCUGAGUUCUACAAUUUACCAUCCUGUAAUUUUUGCUCAGUUUGUUAUAGUUAUUCUUUCAUUACACAAAGCCCAAGGAAUGAACUGCUACUUCUUUGAAGUAUGGUCAUUAUGAUGAAUGUGAAAAGAAUUUUGGCCUUUUCAAAACAAUUUUUCAACUUCUUAUGGUACAGACAGAUAUGUAGUACACAUUUUAAAAACCUGUUUGUUGCAGUAGGAAAUGAAAAAGGAAUCUUUUACAUUAUAGAUUUAAAACUAAUUUUUCCUGUAUAUAAACUAAUUGUUUUGAUUUUAAAUAUUCCUGGUUUCUAUUAAUGUGUCUUAAUUUUGAGUUUGAAAAUGUUAAGUGCAAUAAACAUAGUAGCACAGAUUUCAUUUUGUUGCAGUUGGCAUACACUGGGGAUGAUCACUUAAAAAAAAAACAGAUUUUACACAAUGCCUACUUCUGCUAGAUGUCUUAUGAGAUUGUUUUGCUUUCUCUAAGUUAUUUAGAUGGUGGGAGAUGUAAAAUGUAAAUACGUGUUUCUUGUUCUGUAUACAUUUCUCAAAUGUACGCCUGUAUUAUAAUAACCUCCCAGUUCUAGGGGAUAUUUGUGCAAUAAAUACACAUGUCAAUUUGAUGGAU
rnacentral:lncRNA from 1 species